rnacentral:rRNA from 1 species
CAGCCGCCGCGGUAAUACGUAGGGUGCAAGCGUUAAUCGGAAUUACUGGGCGUAAAGCGCACGUAGGCGGCUUGGUAAGUUAGAGGUGAAAGCCUGGAGCUCAACUCCAGAAUUGCCUUUAAGACUGCCGAGCUAGCAGGUGAGAGAGGUAAGUGGAAUUCCGAGUGUAGAGGUGAAAUUCGUAGAUAUUCGGAAGAACACCAGUGGCGAAGGCGGCUUACUGGCUCAUACUGGACGCUGAGGUGCGAAAGCGUGGGGAGCAAACAGGAUUAGAGACCCCAGUAGUCCCUGUCUCUUAUAC